UGGGGGUAGACAUUUGUAACAUGGUCAAAAGCUGCACCUUUAGCAGUUUGCAUCAUGAAAGUCAUGAAGGGGGUCGACGGGGGUGUUGAAGCCGACGACGAUGAAGCGCGUCCGCCAUCGAUUGUCUAUUUGUCUCCACAGCCCACAGGAGCAAAGGGGCUGGCGUUGCUUCACUGAAGGCUGCGGCCCGCGACAGGCGGCCCGGUGACGGAGGUCAGCGGACACAUCGGUGGAUGGAAGUAAUUUCCACUCCCGCCAAAAAAAAAAACAAACAAACAA